rnacentral:tRNA from 1 species
AGGAAGAUAAGCUAAUUAAGCUAAUGGGUUCAUACCCCAGAGAUAUAGGUUUUACCCCUCUUCUCCCUA